rnacentral:misc_RNA from 1 species
GUGAGUCAUCGAAUCUUUGAACGCACAUUGCGCCCGCCAGUAUUCUGGCGGGCAUGCCUGUUCGAGCGUCAUUACAACCCUCAAGCUCAGCUUGGUGUUGGGGACCUACGGCUCGCCGUAGGCCCCGAAAUUCAGUGGCGGGCUCGCCGUAGACCCGAGCGCAGUAGUAACAUCUCGCUUGCGGAUUACCGGUGGGUGCUUGCCGUGAAACCCCCAACUUUAAGACGUUUGACCUCGGAUCAGGUAGGAAUACCCGCUGAACUUAAGCAUAUCAAUAAGCGGAGGA